GAACCGGGGGAACUGAAACAUCUAAGUACCCCGAGGAAAAGAAAUCAACCGAGAUUCCCCCAGUAGCGGCGAGCGAACGGGGAGGAGCCCAGAGCCUGAAUCAGCAUGUGUGUUAGUGGAAGCGUCUGGAAAGGCGCGCGAUACAGGGUGACAGCCCCGUACACAAAAGCGCAUGUGCUGUGAGCUCGAUGAGUAGGGCGGGACACGUGGUAUCCUGUCUGAAUAUGGGGGGACCAUCCUCCAAGGCUAAAUACUCCUGACUGACCGAUAGUGAACCAGUACCGUGAGGGAAAGGCGAAAAGAACCCCGGCGAGGGGAGUGAAAAAGAACCUGAAACCGUGUACGUACAAGCAGUGGGAGCACCCUUUGGGUGUGACUGCGUACCUUUUGUAUAAUGGGUCAGCGACUUAUAUUCUGUAGCAAGGUUAACCGAAUAGGGGAGCCGGAGGGAAACCGAGUCUUAAUUGGGCGUUAAGUUGCAGGGUAUAGACCCGAAACCCGGUGAUCUAGCCAUGGGCAGGUUGAAGGUUGGGUAACACUAACUGGAGGACCGAACCGACUAAUGUUGAAAAAUUAGCGGAUGACCUGUGGCUGGGGGUGAAAGGCCAAUCAAACCGGGAGAUAGCUGGUUCUCCCCGAAAGCUAUUUAGGUAGCGCCUCGUGAAUUCAUCUCCGGGGGUAGAGCACUGUUUCGGCUAGGGGGCCAUCCCGGCUUACCAACCCGAUGCAAACUGCGAAUACCGGAGAAUGUUAUCACGGGAGACACACGGCGGGUGCUAACGUCCGUCGUGAAGAGGGAAACAACCCAGACCGCCAGCUAAGGUCCCAAAGUCAUGGUUAAGUGGGAAACGAUGUGGGAAGGCCCAGACAGCCAGGAUGUUGGCUUAG
rnacentral:rRNA from 1 species